GCCAGGCAUGGUGUUGCAUGCCUGUAAUCCCAGCUACUUGGGAGGCUGAGGAAAGAGGAUCCCUUGAACUCAGGAGUUCAAGACUGCAGUGAGCUAUGAUUGUGCCACUGUACUCCAGCCUGGGUGACAAAGUGAGACUCUGUCUGUU
rnacentral:SRP_RNA from 1 species